rnacentral:ncRNA from 1 species
AUAAAAGUUUUAUUUUGGCUUAUAAGUUUGUUAUUAGUUUAAUUUAUAUGUAAAUUUUUAUGUGAAUUUUUAUUUAUUUUAAUAGUAAAUAAAUUUUUUAUUAGUCGCAGUAAUUAGUAUUAUUAAUUAAAGAAAUUUAGAAAUAGUAAUAUUAAAGAGUAUUGGCUAAAUUUGUGCCAGCAGCCGCGGUUAUACGAAUAAUACAAAUAAAUUUUGUUUAGUUAAAGUUAGAUUGGUUUUAAUAAAAUAAAAAUAAAUUUAUUAGGUGAAAUUUUAAAUUUAUAUUAAUUUUAAAUUAAAUAAUUAAAGCUUGAAAAUUUUAUUAAUAAACUAGGAUUAGAUACCCUAUUAUUUAAAAUGUAUAAAAAAAGACUAAGGUAGUAGUAGUUAUGUUCUUGAAACUUAAAAAAUUUGGCGGUAUUUUAGUCUAUUCAGAGGAACCUGUUUUGUAAUCGAUAAUCCACGAUGGACCUUACUUAAGUUUGUAUUCAGUUUAUAUACCGUCGUUAUUAGAAUAUUUUAUGAGAAUGUUAAUUUUCAAGAUUUUUAAAUAGAAAAUAUAUCAGAUCAAGGUGUAGCUUAUAUUUAAGUAUAAAUGGGUUACAAUAAAUUUAUUUAAAUGAAUAUAAAUUUGAAAUGUUUAUUGAAGGUGGAUUUGAUAGUAAAAUUAUAAAGAUAAAUAAUUUGAUUUUAGCUCUAAAAUAUGCACACAUCGCCCGUCACUCUUAUUAUUAAGGUAAGAUAAGUCGUAACAUAGUAGAUGUACUGGAAAGUGUACCUAGAAUGCA